rnacentral:rRNA from 1 species
UACGUAGGGGGCAAGCGUUGUCCGGAUUUAUUGGGCGUAAAGAGCUCGUAGGUGGUUCGGUAAGUCGGAUGUGAAAUCUCCAGGCUCAACCUGGAGGGGUCAUUCGAUACUGCCGUGACUAGAGGUCGGUAGGGGAGUGUGGAAUUCCUGGUGGAGCGGUGAAAUGCGCAGAUAUCAGGAGGAACACCCGUAGCGAAGGCGGCACUCUGGGCCGGUACUGACGCUGAGACGCGAAAGCGUGGGGAGCGAACAGG